GGACGAACGCUGGCGGCGUGCUUAACACAUGCAAGUCGUACGGUAAGGCCCUUUCGGGGGUACACGAGUGGCGAACGGGUGAGUAACACGUGAGUAACCUGCCCACAACUUUGGGAUAACGCUAGGAAACUGGUGCUAAUACUGGAUAUGUGCUCCUGCUGCAUGGUGGGGGUUGGAAAGCUCCGGCGGUUGUGGAUGGACUCGCGGCCUAUCAGCUUGUUGGUGGGGUAGUGGCCUACCAAGGCGGCGACGGGUAGCCGGCCUGAGAGGGUGACCGGCCACAUUGGGACUGAGAUACGGCCCAGACUCCUACGGGAGGCAGCAGUGGGGAAUAUUGCACAAUGGGCGCAAGCCUGAUGCAGCAACGCCGCGUGCGGGAUGACGGCCUUCGGGUUGUAAACCGCUUUCAGCAGGGACGAAGCUUUUUGUGACGGUACCUGCAGAAGAAGCACCGGCUAACUACGUG
rnacentral:rRNA from 1 species